CUGUGCGAAAGCGGCGUCAAUCCGGAAGCCCUGGCCUGCCUCAUCAAGGAGAUUCGCUCCCGAACGUCGUCCAACGUCAAUAGUUCGAGCAUGCGGCCUGAACAUGCCGAGCGGUGACUGCGCUCAUCUACUUGCUGAAGAUCAGCUGGCCCUCUAGUGUACUGUUCCACGUGAUCACUUUGCUGAGGGCACUACCAUAUUCAGCGAGCCGUUCGACGUGCCGC
rnacentral:lncRNA from 1 species